GAGGAGAAUGGGAGAGAGGGGGGGGGGGCGGCGGCGUUGGAGGGGAUCGUUGGAGAGGCCGAUCGCCGGAGGAAACCGAGCGCCGGAGCCGAGAACCAGUCGGCCGUGGAGGAAGCCGGAAAGCCUCUCCUCCCUUCCCCACAAACCGGGAGAAAAACUUUGGACCCGUGCGGGGAAAAUCCGAGUUUCCUCUCCGAUUCCUCGCCGGAAAGAUCACCGGAGCACCUCGUCGGGCUGAGGGGAAGAGUCAGCGGUGCCACGAGGUUUUGAUCAGGGGACUUAGCACCCCAGCUCGUAGGUUGUAAUCCAGAUCUGUGUUUGAGUCUGUCUACAAUUUCUAGUUGCAGGAUGCAUAGUUUUGGAUGGGAUGGGCGCAGAGUGCGAGCACCAGAGUCAUUAGUUAGUUAGUUGUUUAUCCUUCUUUGAUGUCGAUGAACAUUUGAAGAGCUUGUAAAUGAACUAAUUUGUU